AGAAAUUACUAUCUUUAUUUAUUUAUUUUUUAGUCGAGUAUUGUGUCGAUGAUAAAAGGUGGAAGACUGAGGAUCCUUAGAGAUCACAGCCACGGGGGGGACUGUGUUGUCUGAGCAGUCAGAUCCGAAUUGAGUUCCAAGAGACAUUUCUGCAAUUCCGGGAUCUCGAAUUUCCGUAUUCAUCUUCUCUGUUUCCUACUUUCUUUUGAGGUUUUGCUCUGUCAAUCUCCAUUACUGCCUUUGUAUUAGGACAAUUCUCUCGAGAUGGAAGGCUGAGAAUCCGUGGAGAUCACAGCACUGGGGCGGACCAUGUUGUCUGAGGACUCCCAAGGUUCUACUCCGUCAAUCUCCAUUACUGCCUUUGUAUUAGGACAAUUCUCUCGACAUGGAAAGAAAAGAACCCACUCCUUGAGAAGAUCCGAUACACGGGGCAACUUCCUCAUUGACCUCUCCGCAUAGAGGUGACUAUGGAGGCGGAACACAGAGACCGAAAGGAAAUGAUCGCUACGUGUUCUUGAGCUGUAGAGGGAAGACCUUUAGCAAAUCUUUCUCCGAUGAUCUUUAUACUAGCCUUGAUCAUGCAGGAAUUGGCACGUUCUACAGUGUGCACCAAUCGGGUCGUAAGAUGGGUUCAAGGAUCCUCGACGAUCUUACGCAGUCUAAGAUCUCAAUCCCAAUUUUCUCGCUGUACUAUGCUUUCAGCCAAUCAGGUCUUCGUGAGCUUGUUCACAUAUUUUAUGGAGUGAGACCCUCGGUAGUGCAACAUGUUAAAGGGAGAUUUAGACAAGCUUUUUCUAGAUAUGAAGGUCGGGUGGACAAAAUGGAACUAGGGUGAUGGUUUUAUUUAUGUAGAUGGGCUUGGCCCGUCCGCCCAUGUUGGGCCUAAGAACCAGGCUCGCAAGAUUAGGGCCCAUGGAUGAAAGGGUGCAUUGAAGGGUUGCGUCUUUUGGAUGAGAUGUUAUGUUGAGGGGUUGCGUCCCUUGGAGGAGACGCUUUGAGGGAAAGGAAUAAAAAGGACGUACCUUUUGAGGGAACGCACGUCUUUCAGAAGAAAUGUUUUCUUCCCCCUCCAAACAACGUAAGAAGAGAACGCUCCAAGAAAAAAGAAAGUAUGUCUUUCAAAGUUUUCUUCCCCGUGAAGCAACAGUACACACCUUGGUAAAUCGGGAUCAGAUUCUUCCUCGAUUUUCAACAUUGGUGUUUAAUCUGUGGAUAAUAGGGAUUCAGGUAUUCCCAACAUAGGGGAAUGGAGAAGAGCGCUCGUCGAAGUCGGUUCCUUGAGAGGAUGGGCAACAGAGAACUUUGCCUAUGGGAAUGAAGGAGCAUUCAUUAAACUAGUUGUCACAAGAGUUGUAAGCUUGUUAAAAAGAACUUUCAAGCUUCCCAAAGAGUUGGUUGGAAUUGAUGAUCACGUGAAAUAUAUUAUGAGCUCAUCGAAUCCUAAAUAUAAUGAUACAAGGAUUAUCGGAAUCUAUGGAGUGUGUGGAAGUAGUAAAGACAACUCUUGCAAAGGUCCUGUGGAACAAUCUCUCUAGUAAUUUUGAACAUCUUAGCUUUGUACCAAAUAUUCAAGAAGUAUCACUACACAUGGGUAUUGAGUUCUUACAGGAAGAGCUCAUUUGCGAUAUACAAAGAAGUCCACAUACAGUAUCUAAUGUUGGUGAGGGAAUCGGCAUCAUUAAAUCUCAAUUUACAAGUAAGAAAGUCCUUGUUAUUCUUGAUGAUAUGGAUGAUGAUAUUCACCUAAAUGCCUUGGUUGGAGAUGGUAAUUGGUUAAAAGCAGUAAGUAUAGUCAUAAUAACUACUAGAAACGUGAGUAUUCUUGAUAAGGCCAAUGCAGACCCCAAGUACA